CUACGUGCCAGCAGCCGCGGUAAUACGUAGGGUGCGAGCGUUAAUCGGAAUUACUGGGCGUAAAGCGGGCGCAGACGGUUACUUAAGCAGGAUGUGAAAUCCCCGGGCUCAACCUGGGAACUGCGUUCUGAACUGGGUGACUAGAGUGUGUCAGAGGGAGGUAGAAUUCCACGUGUAGCAGUGAAAUGCGUAGAGAUGUGGAGGAAUACCGAUGGCGAAGGCAGCCUCCUGGGAUAACACUGACGUUCAUGCCCGAAAGCGUGGGUAGCAAACAGGAUUAGAUACCCUGGUAGUCCACGCCCUAAACGAUGUCGAUUAGCUGUUGGGCAGCAUGACUGCUUAGUAGCGAAGCUAACGCGUGAAAUCGACCGCCUGGGGAGUACGGUCGCAAGAUUAAAACUCAAAGGAAUUGACGGGGACCCGCACAAGCGGUGGAUGAUGUGGAUUAAUUCGAUGCAACGCGAAGAAUCUUACCUGGUCUUGACAU
rnacentral:rRNA from 1 species